rnacentral:sRNA from 1 species
CAGCAUAUUCCUACUGAAGAAACUGGGAAUCUUCGGCAGAUUAGUAGCCAGCAGAACUGUAGAGUCCCUGAAGGAAGGUUGAAGUGAUAUUUGCACUGCUGAACCACAGAGUGAACCUGGGAAUGAGAUACACUGACACCCUCAUCAGUGCUUUCCAUCAGUGUGCAAGACUUAGCUAUUUCUCAAAAGAACACAGCUUCCUCUCGCAUGGAAUGUCCUAUCAUUGGGGAUGUAACCAGAAGCCUCCAAAGCCUACUCAGUUUUUUAGGUGAAGAUCCCAGAUUUUUGUCACAACUCUCAUGGUUACAUUUAUAGGUAGGGAAUCCAGCCACUUCAGUCCAGUUUCUGAAAAUUCCUGGCUAGGUUAUUUUUCACAGUUCCUUUUGGACAUUUUACCAACUCUUCUGAUUGUGGACAAGACAGUGAAGGCAUUGAUGAAUAUGUAGGGAUUUACAGCUUUGUUUACAAUCUAAUCUGGAAAUUAUGUACUCCUAUUACAAAUAGACACACUUAAUGUACCAAAUCUGGAAAUAAAAUAUUUCAGAAGU